GCUGCAAUUCUGCCACAGGCCCUGAGGGUCACACCAGGACUGCGCUCCACCUUUCAGCCUGAAUCCACCCUCAGGGAUCUCUCCAGCUUCGAGAAUCGUCUCCUUCUAGUGUGUGACAAGAGAUUCUCACAUAUUGAGGCUCUAAAGAUGGACACCAGGAGCUGCUGUGGCCAUGUCUCUGUCAUGGACUAGGGGCCUCGAGAAACUCAAAGCUCCCGUGCUGAAGUUAACUGAGUCCACCUGUUCACCUGACUGUCCGCUCACUUCAUUGUAAGCUCCCAGACACAGAGCCCAUGCUUGAUUCAUCCUUGUGUCUUUGGCUCCUGGCACAAAGAAACUGAAUCUCAGAGAAUUUGUCCAAAGCCACACAGCUGAUAAGGAGCAGAAGAAGCAGAAUGUACAGAGUGGUUAUAUACCAUCUUGGAACAAGGAACAUACAUCAAAUAUGACAACAAUAUUCCUUUUACUAUAGUCACGAGAUGCUUUGCUAGCACAGCAGUUUACAGUGAAGUUCAGCUUCAAAUGAUGUGGCAGCAGAAGAGAAUUCCUUGAAUUAACUGAGGAAGACAGACCUCUACCAUUUCAGCGCUGAGGACAGGAGGUUGAUCAAGGGCUUCUGGCAUCCUGUAAAGGGAACAGCAUACCCCCUGAAGAAACCCCACAAGUGGCAGAAGCCAUCACAAAGCCCUGCACAGCCUCCAGUUCCACCUACACUGCUGGUACCAAAAUAGCUCACACGGCAUUCCUACCCCCUCCUUUUGAACUGUGUGGGAAGGAACACUGGUCACGAUUCUCUGUUUCAACCACCUCACACGCUAGGACAGCCUCGGAAACUGCAGUGGCAUCUUGGGAUCUGGAGAACAGCAUGUCACAGGUUACACAUCAUACGUAUUCUGCACCAAGUGCCGUGUUCCUCCAAAAUUAGAGGUUUUUAAACAGAUGCAAAGAAACUGAAAAUGAUUUUUAAGUUAAAAAGUAAAAUGGAAAUGAGUUAAGUGUAGCAGAGUGUGGGGGCCAGAUCAUAAAGGGUCUCAUAUGCCAGGCUUAAAAAGUGUGAACUUUAUUGUGUCAGCGGGGAGGUGUAGAAGCAUUUUAAACAGGAAAGUAACACGAUCCGUUUAUUAUUUUGCUUGUUAGAGACUAUAUGACUAGUUACAAUCUGGCAGAUAGAGUAUACUAAAGUAUGAUUGUGCCAGGCUCUGCUGGUGGUGCCCUCCCACCCCAUCCUGGUUCUUCCUUGCCAGCAGAUGUCACCUCCCACUCUGAAGGCUGGAAAUGCCCAAGAAUCACUUUCCCAGCCUCCUUUGCAGGUAGAACCUGGGCAUGUGACCCAGUCCUGGCUAAUGGGACCUGAGAAGCAAGGCCACUGGGAGGAUUCUGGAAAAGGUUUUCCUCUCUAAUAAAAAGAUGCAUAAGAGGAAAUGCCCCACCUCUUUUCUAAAUGUGAUCAUGUUUGCAUGUAAUGCCUGGAGCUACCACCAUGAAAAGCGACAAGGCCAAUACCUUAGGGAUGGCAGAGCAGUAAGUUGGAAGUGACGACAUCAUAGAACCACACAGAGCCACAUUUUCUCUGGAGACAACAGACACUUAUUGGUUAAGCAUUUUUAUUUGGAUAUUCUGUUACUUGUACCCUAAAGCAUCUCAACUGAAAGAGGCAUUAAUAAAGUCACCAGCAAAAAUUAA